rnacentral:rRNA from 1 species
UAUUGGACAAUGGGCGAAAGCCUGAUCCAGCAAUGCCGCGUGAGUGAUGAAGGCCUUAGGGUUGUAAAGCUCUUUUACCCGGGAUGAUAAUGACAGUACCGGGAGAAUAAGCUCCGGCUAACUCCGUGCCAGCAGCCGCGGUAAUACGGAGGGAGCUAGCGUUGUUCGGAAUUACUGGGCGUAAAGCGCACGUAGGCGGCUUUGUAAGUUAGAGGUGAAAGCCUGGAGCUCAACUCCAGAAUUGCCUUUGAUACUGCAUCGCUUGAAUCCAGGAGAGGUGAGUGGAAUUCCGAGUGUAGAGGUGAAAUUCGUAGAUAUUCGGAAGAACACCAGUGGCGAAGGCGACUUUCUGUCUGUAACUGACGCUGAUGUGCGAAA